AUUGAACGCUGGCGGCAGGCCUAACACAUGCAAGUCGAGCGGAUGAAGGGAGCUUGCUCCUGGAUUCAGCGGCGGACGGGUGAGUAAUGCCUAGGAAUCUGCCUGGUAGUGGGGGAUAACGUCCGGAAACGGGCGCUAAUACCGCAUACGUCCUGAGGGAGAAAGUGGGGGAUCUUCGGACCUCACGCUAUCAGAUGAGCCUAGGUCGGAUUAGCUAGUUGGUGGGGUAAAGGCCUACCAAGGCGACGAUCCGUAACUGGUCUGAGAGGAUGAUCAGUCACACUGGAACUGAGACACGGUCCAGACUCCUACGGGAGGCAGCAGUGGGGAAUAUUGGACAAUGGGCGAAAGCCUGAUCCAGCCACGCCGCGUGUGAGAAGAAGGUCUUCGGAUUGUAAAGCACUUUAAGUUGGGAGGAAGGGCAGUAAGUUAAUACCUUGCUGUUUUGACGUUACCAACAGAAUAAGCACCGGCUAACUUCGUG
rnacentral:rRNA from 1 species